GAGACACCCUUCUGGGGCAAGACUUGCUUCAGUGGGGCUUUGGUGCUCACUGAGUCUGCCCCCUGCGUGUGUCCCU
rfam:Myotis lucifugus cont2.8134, whole genome shotgun sequence.